GACGUAGGGGGCCAGCGUUGUUCGGAAUUACUGGGUGUAAAGGGUUCGUAGGCGGUUGAGUAAGUCGGGUGUGAAAACUCUGGGCUUAACCCAGAGCCGCCACUCGAUACUGCUCUGACUUGAGUUCGGUAGGGGAGCAGGGAAUUCCUAGUGUAGCGGUGAAAUGCGCAGAUAUUAGGAGGAACACCGGUGGCGAAGGCGCUGCUCUGGGCCGAAACUGACGCUGAGGAGCGAAAGCGUGGGUAGCAAACAGG
rnacentral:rRNA from 1 species